ACGGGUGGAGUAACGCGUGGUCAACCUACCGUUGAGUGGGGGAUAACUAGCCGAAAGGUUAGCUAAUACCGCAUACGUCUCCGAGGGGCAUCCCUUGGCGAUAAAAGGAGCAAUCCGCUCGAUGACGGGACCGCGUCCCAUUAGCUAGAUGGUGGGGUAACGGCCUACCAUGGCACCGAUGGGUAGCUGGUUUGAGAGAGCGACCAGCCACACUGGGACUGAGAAACGGCCCAG
rnacentral:rRNA from 1 species